rnacentral:lncRNA from 1 species
CAAGAAAUUUUGCGAAAUCAACCUGCCCCAAAAGUAUUCCACUUCUUCCUGGAUACCCAAGGACUAUAGGAUGAACCACAUCCCUGACCUACUGAGCCCAGACAGUCUUGAGCAGACUAAGGUCCAUGUAAAUGUCAAAUAUUCCUCAUAAAAUCAACCUGAGAAUAACCACCUUCAGCUGCCCAAAGUCGAGGGAAUCGGGGCAACAACUCUUCAAUAACCUCUUCAAGCUGUAAAACAACAGGAGUUUACUUUUGAAACAUUUGCCUCAGCCAAGCUGCCUGGGUGACAGUUAAUAAGGAGAAAACCAGGAGACAUCCACAUGGAGUGGAGACUGUGAAGAUCAAAGCUGAGGGAGCCUCAGCCAGAGGAGUGUCCUUAGCACGCCACAAGCAGG